UAAAAGGGGCUCUCAAUUUCAGGCUCUCAUGAAACAAUAUCUAAUUUUCUAUUGAGUUUACUACUGUUAGGGAUUACAUUAGAUAAAAAAUGAAAAACAAAUAUUCAGUUAUUAAUACUUUUAACUCAUUUUCUCGCUGUGUGUACAGUAUAGCAUUUAAAGGACGCGGGGAGAGGGGAGAAAAAUAUAUUGACACUAUAAUAAGAACUCAAUUUAAUUCAGGAAAUGCAGUUGAAAUAGACCAACGUGAUACAAGUGCCAAGAAAGAUACUGGUGGGGUAAUUGUGUGAUGCCUCUAACAUUAUUUAAUAAUAUAGAGAUAGAUUUAUUCAUUCAACACCAACGGUGUACAGCAAGAUAUUUUUUCAAUUUUUUUUAGAUGGUUUAGCAUUUAUUUUUCGAUUUCACUUAUUUCACCAUUUACAUGCUUCCUAAGAGUUUUAUAAGCCUGCACUUGUUUGUAAUUUAUUUUACCAGAGAAGACCCCGAACAAUAAAAGCAUGUUGGGAAGCAAAAGCUGUUGUUUUUUCCGUCUCGAUCAGCGCAACUGAUAAUCAAACACAAUUCGGAACUAACAGUUCAGCAGCGACGAAUUAGAUUAACUACGGUGAGGCGCGUGGCCAGGACACCGCUCUCGCGGAGCAAGGUCGCCAUCAGGAAGAGGAAUUGAACAGCUCCGUGCAAGGUUAAUUUGCAUGCCAGGGGAAGCCAAGUGUAACUAGAAUGAGCUUUGCCUGACUGAAAAUCAGUCGCGUUUGCUCCUUGGACCACUGCAGUCAUGAGAUUUUAUCAUCUCAUCCUUUUCCUCGUCUGCGCCGCGGCUGUCACAACAGUGCUCGGACAAGGCGAAGAUAACCACGUGGACACCCUGCAGCUGAUCAUGAGGAAUAUGAGGAUGAGGAUCUACGAUCCCCGUUGUCCGAGAGGCCAGUACAUUGUCCAAGGAACGUGCAAGUACCCUCUUAUCGGAUAAGCAGCUGUGUAACAUGAAGACCACACAGAAGACUCUAUUAAAUCGCAAACCGUGGUAAAUGGCACUUGUAUGGCAUGCAGUUAGUUCCUAUAAAAUAUGAUAAAUAAACUAUAUUUUUACACAA